UUCGACGCCACAGCGAAGUGUGUGUUGUAAGGCAAUUUGAGCAGGACAAACCGACACGACGGGAGGCACUCUAAAUUGUAAAAAAGAAGCGAGAACGUUCACGCAACUACAACUACAUAUGUAUAUGUGUGUAUGUAUGCAUGUAUGUACAACGGCAAACGAUGGUGAUGGCGAAUGGCGGCACAGGCAAAAGCGAAGGCGGAUUUCUAUAAGAUUUCUUUUUUUAAUAAUAAAUAUUUUAUUUUUUUUUACAAGAAGUUUAAGCUGCUUGCAAGUGCGGAAAGUAAGCAUGUAUGUAAGCUGUUUUAUUAAGGGACGAUUCAUGCCGUUCGUUUUAUUAUAAAGACCGCACGCAUUGCACAAAUAAUGUCCGGUAUUAUCACGGCGCCA